rnacentral:rRNA from 1 species
GACGAACGCUGGCGGCGCGCUUAACACAUGCAAGUCGAACGGAAAGGCCUGCUUUCCCUUGUGGAUUGCGGGUACUCGAGUGGCGAACGGGUGAGUAACACGUGAGUGAUCUGCCCCCAACUUGGGUAUAAGCCUGGGAAACUGGGUCUAAUUCCCGAUAGGACUGCAGGGUGGUGCCUGUGGUGGAAAACGAUUUUCUAGUGGUUGAGGAUGAGCUCGCGGCCUAUCAGCUUGUUGGUGGGGUAAUGGCCUACCAAGGCGGCGACGGGUAGCCGGCCUGAGAGGGUGGACGGCCACAUUGGGACUGAGAUACGGCCCAGACUCCUACGGGAGGCAGCAGUGGGGAAUAUUGCACAAUGGGCGGAAGCCUGAUGCAGCGACGCCGCGUGGGGGAUGACGGCCUUCGGGUUGUAAACUCCUUUCGACCGCGAGGAAGCCACCUGGUUGGAAGGGUGGUGACGGUAGUGGUAGAAGAAGCACCGGCUAACUACGUG